rnacentral:misc_RNA from 1 species
CUUCUAUAGCAGUUGGAAGAUUNGUAUGCGCUUUCGUUUUCUGUACUUCAACUAGGAUAGAAGUCACAAAAGGAUUUANUAGUGUUCUUAGAUUUGCAGGCAUUGACCAGCAGCUAGUGUCACAGUACAUCCAUUUGUUCUUUUCAAGAUCUACCACGAGUAANGUCCGAUGGCAACCUGGAUUACAGGGUGUUGCAAUAAAAACAUCGCCAGACUCUGACUUCCCGACAUUUGAAAAGAACAGAAGCAAUACCAUGGAUUAUACUAUAGGAUAGCCAGCCAUUUCCAUGUUCUAGAACACAAUGGUUGUUUGGAGUGUUAAAUAGUUUUGCGGCGUAAGAAUCAAGAACACUUUUGGAAAAGGAGCAUUUUUCAUUUGGCACAUCUAUGUGUCUCUCCAGCCAUUUUUGCUCUUGUCGCAAAGCCAUUUUUACAUCACGAAGGUUAUGUAUCUUCAAAAUGAAAUCGAGUGAAUUUGGAGUAAAGACACCACAAUCACAAGAAACAGCUGCAUAUUUUUUGCUGCAAAUAAACUUCAUGCCUUCGCAUUCUGUUCUUGAAGGUCAAAAUGUAUUCUGACAACGGAUAAUGAAUACUAGGAUCCUACAGAUUAUCCCAAUUUUAUCGUUCUAGGGGUGAUGUGCACUUUAAUCUUUGGGCAACUACAAGGAAAUAUCUUAUACUGCUAGUGUCUAUAUACACCUUAUCCAAAAAUCGUAGUCAUAGAUAACUGGUUUAAAAAUCGCUUGCAAAUCGACUAAUUAAAAGAAUAGCAAGUCCCACUGUGCUUUGCGAUUGUAAGCUUCCUAUUUAAGGUCCAGACAAGGAUUUUUGGAUUANUUGUAUAAUAUGUACUGCUGAGAAUAAGUGUAAUAAUCAUAUGGUAAUGAUCAUAUACAUUUGGAGUAAAUGAUGUCAUUAACUCAAUCUAAUAGUUCUCCAAGAUUUUAAUACGAUAUUUCUUUAUUGAAAUGCUCUGGUUUCGCAAAAUCAAACAUCUUUAUCAUCUAGAAUCCGUUUCCUCUAUACCUUAGUAUUUAAAAUCCAUCAUUUUUGGUCCAAAUGAAGUGUUACUUUAAUUAAUGACUAACUGACAACAAUACCAACAAUAGGCCUUUUGCAGCUGGGGGUCACGUGACCACACCUACCUUAAAUGAAUCAGUUAUNAACCUGUUUGAGUUUGAGUUUGAGUUUGCCAUGGAACACUUCAUUCUACCAAUGAUUGGAUCUGCUGCCAGGCAAGAACCUAACUCAGUCCUUGUAAUGGAUAACUGUAAUAUUCACUACUCUGAUGACAUGAUAAAUGCUGUUCGUAACAAAGGUGGCAUAGUUAUAUUUUUACCUCCCUACUCACCCGAUCUAAAUCCAAUAGAAGACUGUUUCAAUUUUUCAAAAAAGUGGUUGCAAAGGAAUGAAGACAUAUGCACAACAUACCCAAAACGCUGCUUUGAGAUUGCACUAGGGAAGGUAGCAGCAACAAAGAGCACUGGAUUCUUUGAUGACUGUGGCUACUUUGCUUGAAAACUUACAGCAAGAUGCUAAUUGGGCAAUGCAUGGAUGUUGUUGGGAAUGUUGUGUACUAGCAACUAGUACUAAUUAUGUAAUUACAUGUACCAAAUAAGUAACUUGAUUAAAAAAAACUCAACCAA